rnacentral:rRNA from 1 species
UACGUAGGGUGCAAGCGUUGUCCGGAAUUAUUGGGCGUAAAGAGCUCGUAGGCGGUUUGUCGCGUCUGCUGUGAAAUCCCGAGGCUCAACCUCGGGCCUGCAGUGGGUACGGGCAGACUAGAGUGCGGUAGGGGAGAUUGGAAUUCCUGGUGUAGCGGUGGAAUGCGCAGAUAUCAGGAGGAACACCGAUGGCGAAGGCAGAUCUCUGGGCCGUAACUGACGCUGAGGAGCGAAAGCGUGGGGAGCGAAUAGG